rnacentral:tRNA from 1 species
UAGCUCAGUUGGUAAAGAAUCUGCCUGCAAGGCAGGAGACCCAGGUUCGAGUCCUGG